CUCUUGGCCUUUUGCACUGAUUCACAUGGAGCUUGGACAAUCUUCUCAUUGUCUGGUUACAUUUCUUUAUUUCUUUAUUUCCCCUUUCUUUUUAAUCCUCUCUAGUCCCUUAAAUAAUUUAAUUCCCCCCUUUUCCUGUUCGAUUUCCCACCCCACCCCUUACCCUGCCCUGUGGGAAGAUUCUCCCUGUAGCUGUGGCUUGCCUUUCCCAAUAGGGAGAGAGCCCCCGUUAGGGGCUUUCUUUCGCAAAAAGGUUUGCCCCAUUUCUCUUGUUGAAAUUGUGGGGCUAGUCAGGGCUGUUCCCAGCUUAGCUGGAAUCACUUUCGUUUAUAGUAUCCCCGAAGGUUGGCUUUAUUUUGAGUGUGUGCAGUGCUGUUGGCCAAAUUUUAAGCUAGCCUUGGGUGGGAGCACUAAUUUGAGUUCCUUUAAUAUUGCUAUGAGACUAAGAUUCUCAAGAGCAGAAGCAGGGAGGCCUAUUCGGCCUGCACAUAACUUCCAAGCCUAAGUCUGCUACAGGUAGCACUUAAUUGUUAAGUCUCUGACACGUGACUCAUUCUCGCUAUAGGAAUGUAUCUGCUUGCAGGCCCAGUUGCUGCUAAUGUAUAUCUGAGGCAGACAGAGGGCCCCAGAGGCUCUCUGUGCCUCCAAGGACUAUGAGCACUCUGUGUAUGCUCUUGAACUAUGCUGUUUCUGAACAAGUUUAUUUUCUUUAAGUUUGUUUUGCCCUGAUAGUGGCGACUGCCAUUUUAGAGAUGAGCCAUUGUGGCUUAGUGGCUAAAGUGUAGGACUAGGACCUGGGAGACAGGGUUCAUAUCCCCCUCUUAGCCAUUGUUAUAACAAAACAAAACAAACUGCUCCUUUUGGGCUAUUCUGUUGCUGGGUAGUUAGGCCCGUUUGUGAUAAAAGAAUUUUGGGUUUCUUGAAGGGGUGCUUCCCUCUAAAAGGGCAAGCAGGUGUACCUGGACAAGCUGUGGGCUACCUCAACUCUGCUAUUUCACUGGAAACAUUUAUGCCUGGCCUAGCAGGUGAUCCUAGGGCUUUGCCCUAGAAUUCAAUGGCCUGGAAGCGUUUCCGGCCUGAAUAGUGUCCCCAUGUGGUCCAUGAAGCAUUGGUUUCACUGGGUCAGCGCAUAGUGCUGGUAAUGCCUGGGUUGCAGGAUUGGUCCCUGUAUGGGACAGCUGCAUGCUCCCCAUUGCUCUACCUGGACACUUAAGUCCUUUUGGUGGUUACCUCACUGCGAGGGAUGUAACGGGCGCCACGUUUGCAAUAUGCAAGCGGGAGAAAGCACCUUUGCGUGCCCGCAUUGCAGUUUGUGUGUUGCAGGGCACGGCGCUGCACGGGCUGCAAUUGCAUUGCAUUGCAUGAGAGAUUUGCAGUUGCAUUGCACGGAGCGUGUGUGCAUUGCAUGGAGGGUGUGUGUGCAUUGCACGGAGGGUGUAGUUGCAUUGCACGGAGGGUGUUGUUGCAUUGUACGGAAGGUGUGGUUGCAUUGCACGGAGUGUGUGUGCAUUGCACGGAGUGUGUAGUUGCAUUGCACGGAGUGUGUGUGUAUGCAUUGCAUGGAGGGUGUAGUUGCAUUGAACGGAGGGUUUGUGUGUGCAUUGCACGGAGUGUGUGUGCAUUGAACGGAGGGUGUAGUUGCAUUGAACGGAGGGUGUGUAGUGCACGGAGUGUGUAGUUGCAUUGCACGGAGUGUGUAGUUGCAUUGCAUGGAGUGUAGUUGCAUUGCAUGGAGUGUAGUUGCAUUGCAGGGAGUGUGUUUUGCAUUGAACGGAGUGUGUAGUUGCAUUGCACGGAGGGUUUGUGUGUGCAUUGCACGGAGUGUGUAGUUGCAUUGCACGGAGGGUUUGUGUGUGCAUUGCACGGAGUGUGUAGUUGCAUUGCACGGAGUGUGUAGUUGCAUUGCAUGGAGUGUGUGUGCACUGCAUGGAGUGUGUUUUUGCAUUGCACAGAGUGUGUGUCUGAAAAGGAAGCUGGCUCGGCGGCAGCUUUGUCGGGACUUCUUUAAGGGUUCUGGCCAGCCUCGGCCCUGUAAAUUUACAUAUCAUGAUGGCAGCACAAGAUGCCCCCUGCCCAAGCGGGGGCUGGAAGCUGGCAAGCAAUAGCUCAAUACCUUUUGCCCAUAUUCCCAUUUUAUUUAGGGAUCUAGUUGGAUAUCGUUGCUAAAACAUACCACUUGCCUAUGGAGAAGCUGUCUGCCUUGAAGGAAGUUAUUUUGUAAUACUUCCUCUGUAGCAAGUGAUGCUUCAUCAGAUCCGAUCUUGCUGGGUCUCUUAAUUAAUCUUCCCACUAGGCCAGGCUGCCUGCGGCCUGAGGUCCCCUUACCUUUGUGUACGCCUACCAAGUGUGGUGAAGGCAGAUAUCAGGCGAUGGUAGCAAUUCCUGAAUGUAUGCAAUAGUAGAAUCAUAGAAUCAUAGAAUCACAGAGUUGGAAGAGACCACAAGGGCCAUCGAGUCCAGCCCCCUGCCAAGCAGGAAACACCAUCAGAGCACUCCUGACAUAUGGUUGUCAAGCCUCUGCUUAAAGACCUCCAAAGAAGGAGACUCCACCUCACUCCUUGGCAGCAAAUUCCACUGUCGAACAGCUCUUACUGUCAGGAAGUUCUUCCUUAUGUUUAGGUGGAAUCUUCUUUCUUGUAGUUUGGAUCCAUUGCUCCGUGUCCGCUUCUCUGGAGUUCGCCAUGGCAGGAUACCUUGAACCCGCACAGGGAUUUUCAGGUUCAUGCUGGUGCUGCUGGAUCUUUGCCCUUUGGUUUCUAUUUCAAGGGAUGCUGGUGUGCAAAGCUAUGGCCUCAAGCCCGGUGUGGUGAGGCAAUCAUGUGACAUAACUUUUCUUGAGUUUUCCCCAUUGUAGUAGCAGUUCACAUGUGGCCCGAGGAGUUCAGUGACCAUUGGAUCUGCUUUUGGUCUGAUAACCAGGUAGUGGUGAGCGUCUUAGCAAAACAGUCCUCACGCUCUAGCACAGUCUCCGCCCCUCCGUUCAUGCUUUCGAGCUGCGCCGCUUAAGGUUUAAUAUUGUGCUGUCUACUCUCCAAAUUACAGGAUCCUCUAAUGAUGUCGCUGACACUCUAUCCCAUUUUCAGCUGAAGUGCUUCAGAUCCUGGGCUCCAGAUUCAGCUAUUGCCAGACUUUUCCAGACCACCUGUGGCAUUUUGACAACAAUUAGUAAUUACAGAGAGCAGCAGCUUCCAUUUCCCCUUCUGCUUUUAGCUCUUAUGGGAAGGCCUGGAUGGAUUUCUUAGCCUUAAGCUGGCAGUCCUCGGCCAUUCAGAUGAACUGGCCCCCAUCCUCUGAGCAGAUCCGCAGUAUUUGGUCCACCUGCUGCAGAUUGGGCGUGCGUUAUAACUAUCAGAAUUCAGUCCGCUGCAAUGUCUGUUACACUGAAGCUUUAUUUUUCAGAGACCCUUGUAUGAAGUUUGUAGUGCGCAUGGCCUUGGAAGGUUGGAAUAGGCUCCAACCUCAUAGGACAGUGGGCAGGAAGCUGGUCAAUUUUUACCUAUGCAGUAUCUGCAACAAGUUAAAACUUGUCUGCUGGUUAAAGAUCAAGGCGAGACUCCUUUCAGUAGUCCACUGCAUUUUCGCACUGAGGCUUGGGAAAAUGGUUGUUGGAGCCAGCAUGGGGCUGAGAGUCUGGAGGCUUAUUGCUUCAGGACUUUUCCUUAUCCUUUGGAGCUUGUCAUUAGAGUUGGGAACUCUAAAACAGACUUAGUGGGCAGGAGUGCCACAAUCAGGCUUCCCGCCACAGUUGAGGAGGGCCCUUGCCUGGUUAUGGAUAACAGAAUAUUUGGCUUUUCAUUCCCUGGGGGCUGGCCCGCUCCUAGUGCAUGAAAAUGGGUUCCCGUUAGCCAGGCAUCAAUGUGCUUACGUCGUGCACCAGUUAUUACGGCCUGCGGCUUGCUUACCGCUGAACACGCCUCAUUCCUUACGAUUGGGUGCUGCUGCAAAGGCUGCACACUGGGGCCUGUCAGUAGACAGGAUUGUGAAUACGGGUCAUUGGAAGUCUGACGCUGACAAGGGUUAUAUCAGGAAGUGUCACAAUGAUGUCUGUGCUGAUGCUUGUCUGUUAUUUCCUUUUUUCAUAGGAGCAGCUGUGCACAUUUGGGCCACAGCAUUGUACACUAGGCUGGCAAGCAGGUUGACGAGUUUGGACUGGGGCGCCAUCUCAGUCUUCCUGCCCAUGUGAACAUAUACUGGAUGUCCAGAUGGGGAAUGCUUUGGGAGGAGAUCCUUCCUUUGGUGCGGUCGAGUGUGACCUGUGCAGGUCCUCCCGCAGUGCUAGUGGUGCAGCUGGACGAGAAUGACUUGCCGUCUUCCUCCAGCAUAAGUUUGCAUUCCUGCAUGCAAGAGGGCUUGGAUUGAGUUGAUGGCAGCUCUCCCAGGACUCAAAAUAAUUUAAGGCAUUGGUUCAAGGUGGUCUGGAGGGGGGGUUGGAGCACCUGUCCCCUCCAAUGCGCAAAGGAUUCACCAUGCUUUUGUCGACCCCUUUCGAGGGGUAGGGGCAUGCAAGAGUCCCUGGGAGCAUUUGGGGGUGAGCUUGAGUCUGAUCCUGGUUCAUUGCUCCCCACGCUGUUACUGGUACUGACGAUAUGGUGGGGCCCAGUCGUCAGUGCUGCCCUGCUGAGGUCAGGUGCAGCCAGUCAGGAACCAAUGCCUAGACAAACUACCACCGAGCAGGCCAGAAAGCAUGUUAAUAAGGCGGUGGACAAUAG
rnacentral:lncRNA from 1 species